rnacentral:rRNA from 1 species
AACGCGAAGAACCUUACCUAGACUUGACAUCUCCUGAAUUACCCUUAAUCGGGGAAGCCCUUCGGGGCAGGAAGACAGGUGGUGCAUGGUUGUCGUCAGCUCGUGUCGUGAGAUGUUGGGUUAAGUCCCGCAACGAGCGCAACCCUUAUUGUUAGUUGCUACCAUUUAGUUGUGCACUCUAGCGAGACUGCCCGGGUUAACCGGGAGGAAGGUGGGGAUGACGUCAAAUCAUCAUGCCCCUUAUGUCUAGGGCUACACACGUGCUACAAUGGCUGGUACAGAGAGAUGCUAAACCGUGAGGUGGAGCCAGACUUUAAAACCAGUCUCAGUUCGGAUUGUAGGCUGAAAUUCGCCUACAUGAAGCUGGAGUUGCUAGUAAUCGCGAAUCAGAAUGUCGCGGUGAAUACGUUCCCGGGCCUUGUACACACCG